UACGAAGGGGGCUAGCGUUGCUCGGAAUCACUGGGCGUAAAGCGCACGUAGGCGGCUUUUUAAGUCAGGGGUGAAAUCCUGGAGCUCAACUCCAGAACUGCCUUUGAUACUGAGAGGCUUGAGUCCGGGAGAGGUGAGUGGAACUGCGAGUGUAGAGGUGAAAUUCGUAGAUAUUCGCAAGAACACCAGUGGCGAAGGCGGCUCACUGGCCCGAUACUGACGCUGAGGCACGAAAGCGUGGGGAGCAAACAGG
rnacentral:rRNA from 1 species